ensembl:lncRNA
AGGCUUCAUCGCCCACACGGAAGAUUCUGUGACAUCAGCUUAAUUCCGACUCUCGGCCCUCAUCUUCCGGUUUUGUUUACUUGGUUUUCGGAGCUGCUCCUGUCUCCAGAGAUGUUAUAUGGCUUGAUACACUUUUAAUACAAAGGGCUGCUGCGAGGAUCAAACGAACAGAUCUGUGUACGCCCUUGCUGCUGCUGCUGCUCUCUGUGCGACCCCAUAGGUGGUGCCUAAACCAGCCCUGGGGUCAGGCGGCUGUCAACCACAGGGACAGGUGGACGCAGAGAAGCUGCUGGCAGGAAGAGCCGAUUGUUCUCGAGGUUGUGGGUUGUGCAAUAGAGCAGACGAGCUUUGAAGCCACAGGAGGUCAGAGCAGCUUGACCACGCGGCAUAUUACACAGAAGUUUCCCUUUAUAUGAGAUCCUGUUUGCUUGACUCUCAUCAGGAGUGCCAACACUUAGCUGGAUCUCCGAUAGUCUAUAGUUCAAGGAAGUGGUUUCCUUUAAAGGAGUCUACCUGCAAAGUUGAGAUGCCAGGCUGGAACAGCUAGCUACCC